CCUACGGGUGGCAGCAGUGAGGAAUAUUGGUCAAUGGGUGGGAGCCUGAACCAGCCAAGCCGCGUGAGGGAAGAAGGUACAGCGUAUCGUAAACCUCUUUUGUCAGGGAACAAAGGCGGGGACUAGUCCCCGGAUGAGGGUACCUGAAGAAAAAGCAUCGGCUAACUCCGUGCCAGCAGCCGCGGUAAUACGGAGGGGGCAAGCGUUAUCCGGAUUUACUGGGUGUAAAGGGGGCGCAGACGGCAAUGCAAGCCAGGAGUGAAAGCCCGGGGCCCAACCCCGGGACUGCUCUUGGAACUGCAUGGCUGGAGUACAGGAGGGGCAGGCGGAAUUCCUAGUGUAGCGGUGAAAUGCGUAGAUAUUAGGAGGAACACCGGUGGCGAAGGCGGCCUGCUGGACUGUGACUGACGUUGAGGCCCGAAGGCGUGGGGAGCAAACAGGAUUAGAUACCCUAGUAGUC
rnacentral:rRNA from 1 species